AUGUUGCCGGCGAAGAAGAGAGUACCGAUAAGCGAGUUUGUAGCGAAUCAGGGAUGGUGGGAGCCUGAUAACAAGCUUAUCGAGAACCGGACUUCAGAGGCAUUACCUUGAAGAUUAGUAUGGGUAAUCGUUGCUCACGUUAUCGAGCCUUGAGAGAUUCUUAGGCGAAGUAUGUCUAUGGAAUAAGAAGAGUGGUACCGCGGAUAACCCGUCUCUUUU
rnacentral:ncRNA from 1 species